AGAAUGUAAUUUUAAUAUUUAAGUAGUAAUAGUUAUGGUCUUGAAACUUAAAAAAUUUGGCGGUAUUUUAGUCUAUUCAGAGGAACCUGUGGUGUAAUCGAUAGUCCACGAUGGAUCUUACUUAAUUUUGUUUUUCAAUUUGUAUAUCGCCGUUAUUUAAAAGUUUUUUAAAAAUAUUAACUUUUAAAAAUUUAUAUUAAAAAGUAAAUCAGGUCAAGGUGCAGUUUAUAAUUAAGUAUUUCAUGGGUUACAAUAAAAUUAUUUAAAUGAAUUAAAUUAUGAAAUUAAUUUUUGAAGGUGGAUUUGAUAGUAAAUUUCUAAAGAUAAAAUAUUUGAUU
rnacentral:rRNA from 1 species